UAUACCUCGACGGUUUUAGAAAUAGUGAUCAUCUCUGUACACGUAGCUCUACCAUCAUACCUUUCCUCAGAACCAUUAAGAAUUAAAAAUCCAUGUUUAUGGGAAUAGUAACGAUAUCUAAAAAGAUAAGUGAACGGUUUGAACGAUAAACAUGAAAACACACCAAAACGCCACGAAAACCAAGGAUGCCAAUCGGGAUUUCCAGAAAUAUUCACACAUAAAUUAAUAUAUCAAUUAAUUUUUGUGCAAUUACAAAUGCAGUAAUGCCCCAUUUGGUUCAGUGUAUCUUCCUUGAAGAAGAGAAAAAGAAAGAAUAAUUUUUUUCUUCGCCUGUAACGCGUCGGAAGGUCGGGAUAGGGAUUCUGUUGCCCGGAUUUCUAUUCGGAACCCCUGCACGGUGCACCUGGGUCCGUUGCUGCAGCUACUUUGGCGUCCGCCUCUAUUUCAACAAGAGUUGCAGUCGGAUGCGCCGCACCAGGACGGGAAAAAGCUCCGGAAAUUUAACCUCGAGCGACGAAUCCAUCGGAAACUAAUCGAAGACAGCUCCUCAAGGCAAAGACAGCGAAUAAACAACCCUUAUCGACUUGUGAGACGACGGCAGUAAAAAUGUCCAGGGUUAUUCCCGUACCGCGGAUGUCGAAGAGCACCUGACUGGUGGUAUGUUGCUGGUCAUGGUCGCUAGCCACUUUGCUUGGAGGAGAAAUAAAAAAAUGUACGGAUAACUACACAGAGUAUUAAAAUAUGAAGAAUUAUGUUCAGAAUCUUUAAAAAUUUAUUACAUAAUAUUUUUGUUAAUAAAAGUGUAA